rnacentral:rRNA from 2 species
UGGGGAAUAUUGCACAAUGGAGGGAACUCUGAUGCAGCGACGCCGCGUGAACGAAGAAGGCUUUCGAGUCGUAAAGUUCUUUUAUAUGGGAAGAUAAUGACGGUACCAUAAGAAAAAGCCCCGGCUAACUACGUGCCGGCAGCCGCGGUAAUACGUAGGGGGCUAGCGUUGUCCGGAAUCACUGGGCGUAAAGGGUUCGCAGGCGGAAAUGCAAGUCAGGUGUAAAAGGCAGUAGCUUAACUACUGUAAGCAUUUGAAACUGCAUAUCUUGAGAAGAGUAGAGGUAAGUGGAAUUUUUAGUGUAGCGGUGAAAUGCGUAGAUAUUAAAAAGAAUACCGGUGGCGAAGGCGACUUACUGGGCUCAUUCUGACGCUGAGGAACGAAAGCGUGGGUAGCAAACAGG